CCUUACCAGGUCUUGACAUCCUCUGACAACUCUAGAGAUAGAGCGUUCCCCUUCGGGGGACAGAGUGACAGGUGGUGCAUGGUUGUCGUCAGCUCGUGUCGUGAGAUGUUGGGUUAAGUCCCGCAACGAGCGCAACCCUUGAUCUUAGUUGCCAGCAUUUAGUUGGGCACUCUAAGGUGACUGCCGGUGACAAACCGGAGGAAGGUGGGGAUGACGUCAAAUCAUCAUGCCCCUUAUGACCUGGGCUACACACGUGCUACAAUGGAUGGUACAAAGGGCUGCAAGACCGCGAGGUCAAGCCAAUCCCAUAAAACCAUUCUCAGUUCGGAUUGUAGGCUGCAACUCGCCUACAUGAAGCUGGAAUCGCUAGUAAUCGCGGAUCAGCAUGCCGCGGUGAAUACGUUCCCGGGCCUUGUACACACCGCCCGUCACACCACGAGAGUUUGUAACACCCGAAGUCGGUGGAGUAACCGUAAGGAGCUAGCCGCCUAAGGUGGGACA
rnacentral:rRNA from 1 species